AGAGUUUGAUUAUGGCUCAGGAUGAACGCUGGCGGCGUGCUUAACACAUGCAAGUCGAACGGAGUUUUUAAACGGAAGUUUUCGGAUGGAAGUUUAGAAACUUAGUGGCGGACGGGUGAGUAACGCGUGGGUAACCUGCCUCAUACAGGGGGAUAACAGUUAGAAAUGACUGCUAACACCGCAUAAUAUAGCGAAACCGCAUGAUUUUUGCUAUCAAAUAUUUAUAGGUAUGAGAUGGGCCCGUGUCUGAUUAGCUAGUUGGUGGGGUAAAAGCCUACCAAGGCGACGAUCAGUAGCCGGCUUGAGAGAGUGACCGGCCACAUUGGGACUGAGACACGGCCCAAACUCCUACGGGAGGCAGCAGUGGGGAAUGUUGGACAAUGGGGGAAACCCUGAUCCAGCGACGCCCGCGUGAGUGAAGAAGUAUUUCGGUAUGUAAAGCUCUAUCAGCAGGGAAGAUAAUGACAGUACCUGACUAAGAAGCCCCGGCUAACUACGUGCCAGCAGCAGC
rnacentral:rRNA from 1 species